UGGGGAAUAUUGGACAAUGGGCGCAAGCCUGAUCCAGCCAUGCCGCGUGAGUGAUGAAGGCCCUAGGGUUGUAAAGCUCUUUCACCGGUGAAGAUAAUGACGGUAACCGGAGAAGAAGCCCCGGCUAACUUCGUGCCAGCAGCCGCGGUAAUACGAAGGGGGCUAGCGUUGUUCGGAUUUACUGGGCGUAAAGCGCACGUAGGCGGACUUUUAAGUCAGGGGUGAAAUCCCGGGGCUCAACCCCGGAACUGCCUUUGAUACUGGAAGUCUUGAGUAUGGUAGAGGUGAGUGGAAUUCCGAGUGUAGAGGUGAAAUUCGUAGAUAUUCGGAGGAACACCAGUGGCGAAGGCGGCUCACUGGACCAUUACUGACGCUGAGGUGCGAAAGCGUGAGGAGCAAACAGG
rnacentral:rRNA from 1 species